rnacentral:rRNA from 1 species
UGGGCUUGACAUCCCACGAACCUGCCUGAAAGGGCGGGGUGCCCGCAAGGGAGCGUGGAGACAGGUGGUGCAUGGCUGUCGUCAGCUCGUGUCGUGAGAUGUUGGGUUAAGUCCCGCAACGAGCGCAACCCUCACCCCUGGUUGCCACCGGGUAAAGCCGAGCACUCGAGGGGAACUGCCAGCGUCAAGCUGGAGGAAGGCGGGGAUGACGUCAAGUCAUCAUGCCCCUUACGCCCUGGGCUACACACGUGCUACAAUGGCCGGUACAAAGGGACGCGAGACCGCAAGGUGGAGCUAAUCCCAAAAAACUGGUCUAAGUUCAGAUUGCAGUCUGCAACUCGACUGCAUGAAGGAGGAAUCGCUAGUAAUCGCGCAUCAGCACGGCGCGGUGAAUACGUUCCCGGGCCUUGUACACACCGCCCGUCACACCACGAAAGCUGUCUGUACUCGAAGUCGCUGAG